ACCUUAUACAGAUGUAGUGACGCAAGACAGUGACACAUCUCCCUGUAAGGUGGUGUUUAGAUAGAAGUAUAAGCGACAAGUUCUAUUGCGUGACUUUUCAGUCGAAAUAGAAUGAGCUUGUAUGGAGUAGGUUAACCGUAAGACCUUGAAUUGCAAAAUUCUAAAAUUGACCUAGAAAUGAAUUUCUCAAAUUUCCUUAUUUCUAGUUACGGUGAA
rnacentral:ncRNA from 1 species